rnacentral:rRNA from 1 species
UACAGAGGUCCCAAGCGUUGUUCGGAUUCAUUGGGCGUAAAGGGUGCGUAGGCGGCGCGGUAAGUCGGAUGUGAAAUCUUGGAGCUUAACUCCGAAACUGCAUUCGAUACUGCCGUGCUUGAGGACUGGAGAGGAGACUGGAAUUUACGGUGUAGCGGUGAAAUGCGUAGAUAUCGUAAGGAAGACCAGUGGCGAAGGCGGGUCUCUGGACAGUUCCUGACGCUGAGGCACGAAGGCCAGGGGAGCAAACGGG